rnacentral:rRNA from 1 species
CGUGGAGGAUGACGCAUUUCGGUGUGUAAACUCCUUUUAUCAAGGAAGAAAAUGACGGUACUUGAUGAAUAAGCACCGGCUAACUCCGUGCCAGCAGCCGCGGUAAUACGGAGGGUGCAAGCGUUAUUCGGAAUCACUGGGCGUAAAGGACGCGUAGGCGGGAUGCCAAGUCUGAUGUGAAAUCCUAUGGCUUAACCAUAGAACUGCAUUGGAAACUGGUAACCUAGAGUAUGGGAGGGGGAGAUGGAAUUAGUGGUGUAGGGGUAAAAUCCGUAGAUAUCACUAGGAAUACCGAAAGCGAAGGCGAUCUCCUGGAACAAUACUGACGCUAAGGCGUGAAAGCGUGGGGAGCAAACGGGAUUAGAUACCCCGGUAGUCCACGCCCUAAACGAUGAACACUAGUCGUCGGAAUGCUAGUCAUUUCGGUGAUGCACUUAACAGAUUAAGUGUUCCGCCUGGGGAGUACGGUCGCAAGAUUA